CUGUUUUCCCCACAGCUGCUUCCUGAAACAACAAAAGGAGCUGAGCUAAGUCAACCUCUGGGGCAUCAGGUCAGCCCUUCAGGGGCAGGACAAAAAGUCAGAGAGGUAUCCUGGCUGCUCCCUCAGCUUGGGCUGAGGCAGAGUAGGAUGGGGGAUUUGCUGGUGACUGGUGCCUCUGCCCCUUGCCAAUGCCACCCAUGUGAAUGUUCCCUUGUUCAUUUUGUUUGAACAGAUUUUUGUGACUUCUCUCAGGCUCUGAGAUGUUACUUGCUAUUCACAUCAUCAUUUUACAUAUUUCUGUUAAUAUAUGGUAGAACCAAUCAACCAACCAACCAAUCAACCAACUGAAAUCCUAAUUCUGGAGACACAUUAGAUAAAGGAUCCUAGAAUUCUCCCUUCCUUCCUGUAAGAUAGUCUGCUCUGAACCCAGGGUCUGGGGCCAUAGGAAGAGCAUUCCUGAGCCUCCAUCUCUGUGGAAAUGCCAGGUCUUCUCUAGGGGCUGCACCUUGUCUUCUCCUUUCUCCUUUCCACUAAGACUUUUAGAUGUCCCCAUCCCCAUUCUGACCCCUAACCAGACAUCUGUUCCCAGUGGGGCCUUUUGUAGGAGCUGAAAGACCUGGCCAACCUCCAUCAGCUCCAUACCCUCUGUUGUUAGCUAGGACCUGCUGUGGAGAACAAGUGCCCUUGAGAUCUCUCUUCUCUUAGUUUCCAGGACAGUAAAUGAGAAAUACCCUAUUAUGUGCUCUGACAGUACUGGGGAUGGAUGGAUGGAUGGAUGGAUAGAUAGAUAGAUGAUAGGGAACGAUGUUAGUCUUUGGCCAGGCUGGACCUGAGGGGAACUGCUUAGCAUCCGCAGCUUUUCUUGCACCACCAGAGGCUUCACCAGCCCAGAAAUUCCAUUUCCUACUCACUCAGAGGAAGGGCUACUGGCUGUAGGCUCUUACCACUGUCUGGCUCCGUGCUAGAAAAUGACCAUCAGAAGGCUUCUCCUGGGUCUGUUUUCCCCUGGCCCCAGCACAGCCCUCUGAAAUUAAUCUAUGGGGAAUGUAUUUCCCCAUCUCCAGUGUGGCUGUGGCCCUUUUCGUAUAGUCUACUCAGCCCCACGUGAGAUGGGGAUAAUAGAAGGCUGGGCCCUGGGGAAGGGACCCAGGGAGACAUGACCAGGUACUUGCAGGGAAGAUCAGCUUUCUCCAGCUCCUUUCUCAUGGCAGGCACUCAAUUAGAGGGCUUCCCAGGUGCUGGAAAGCUCUGUGCUGGGAGGAUGCUACUUCUUAUACCCCUCUGCACAGUAGAGAUGAUGAGGACUGGGUCUGCUUUUCUCCCUGCACUCUGAUGUAACAAAGGUUUUGUCACGAGGACCUAUUAAAUAGACACUCAUGGUAGUAAAUGUGGAGACUGGGCAGCUUUGAAAUCCUCAGACACAUGUACAUGUGUAUGUAUGUAUGUGUCAUGGAAGACACAGGAUAAAGUCUGUUGUCUGUGGUCCUGAGGGGUUGAGGCAAUGAUCACCAGAGCUGGCUCUAUCUUUGCCCUCAUGCAUAUUCUGCCCACUCAGCUCCCAUUUUGUUAUACCAUUAAUCAGUUGGCAACCUGAGGGGAUCUUAGGGAGGGAGAUGUAGGCUAGUCCAUCUUCUCCUCCAUGGAUCAACAUAGGCCAGACCCAGCUAUAGGAGGCUGGACCACAACCAACAUGGGAUUUUUGCUGAGUUUAGAGAGAAAGUCACUAUAUCACUGAGGGAUCUCAUUGAAGACUUGAUUAGCUAGAGAAGGAGAUUAUGGAGAAGAGAAGGGGGUGACCAUGACAACAGAGGAGGAGUGGAGAGGGUGUCCCCAAAACUUAACUCUAAAUAAUUAAGAGCCACCCUGGGCUCAGUAUCCAGCUUAGAUCUAGGCAGGAUCCCUGGGGCACUGAAGCUGAGGAGGUAACUAGUGGUUUAAAGGUGGAGUAGAGAGGUUCAGGAUGCCUGGUGUGGAUUGUGGGGAAGGUUACAACCAGAACCUUUUAUGGACUGCUCACAGCACUCCACAUACAGGCAAAGGCCAGAGUAUUGAUUCCUAGACAAAAUGCUGUUACACAGCAUGGGGAGUUCAUUUUGUUGAGAUUGAAGAACUUUGAGAGGAAAUAAAAUCUCUGAAGAGAAGCUAAAUUCCAUCUACAGAGGUAGUGUGGCAUAUUGCCUCUCCUCCAUUCUGUUGAAAGAGCUCUCGUCAGUGACUGCUACGUUGCUAAAUUCAUUGAUCUCAGAUCACCACAUACUCUGCCUCUCUGCAACAUUUUUAACAGAAAACACUUUCUUCACUGGUUUCCAGGACAUGCUUUGCCCUCCUCUUACCUUAUGAGUCACUGCUUAGUCCCCUUGGCUGGCUUUGAGUGUCACCCGAUCUCUAAGCAUUGGCACACUGCCAUCUUUGUCUUUGGGCCUCUUCUCCAUGUAGGCUCACUCCUUAGUAUGAAUUUCAGGUUUUUGAAUAGUAUCUAAUGAAUCCAAAUUUUUGAUACCAGCCUGAACAUUUUCCCUGAAUUCUAGGCUUAAAUAUCAAACUACCUACUCAACAUCUGUAUGUGGAUGACUGAUAGCCAUCUAAACUUAACACACCCCAAACCAUACUCUUGAUUUCCAUGGCCCCAAACUUGUUUCUUCAAUGGUGCUCCCAGUCUCAGCAAAUGGCAGUGUAAUUUUUCCAUUUGCUCAGGUCAAAAUAAAAAAACUUGAAGACAUCAUUAACUCCCCCUGAUCCACGAGCAGGAAUGGUUGGAUUUAUCUCUAAAAGAAAUCCAUACAUGCAAUAAACCCAUAAUUAGGUAUCUCACCAUGUCCACCACAGUUACUACCUGGUUCAAGUUAAUGCCAUCUUUGUCUGGAUCAUCAUAAGGGGCUCCUUACUGAUUUUUCUGCUCUAACUCUUGCCCUCUUACAAUUUAUUCUUCACUUGGUAGAUGGAGUAAACUCAAUAAAAAUCAGUCAUGCCACUCCUCUUCCAAUGGAAGUCUUCCAAUGGAUUCUGGUUUCAGAGUAAAAGCCAAACAUCUUACAAGAUCUCAGGGAGUCCCCAAGACCCCCAGUGAUUUGGUCCUCACCCGUCUGUAUGACCUCACCUCCUACCUGUCCUGCCCAAGUCACACUGGCUUUUCAGUAUAGUGUGACAAACUUGCUUCUGCCCAAGGGCGUUUUUCCUAUUCCCCUGCUUGAAAUGCCAUGCCUCCAAAUAGCCACAUGGCUCUGCCAGACCUCACUUCCUUCAGGUCUCUAAUCAAAUGUCUUAUUAGUUGACUAGAACAUUUAAAAUAAGCUUUCUUCCUCAUCUUUGAAACUUCCUUUUGCCUUUAUCCUCUCUUAUGUUUCAUACCACUUAUCAUCUGAAGCAUUGUGUAUUUUCUUGUUUAUUUGUUUGUCACCUGUCUCCUCUCACUAGAAUGCAAACUCCACAAGAGCAGGGGUUUUAUCUACUUUGUUCAUUCUUCACCCCUGAAUUUUGGAGAGUACCUUCAUUUUGUAGAUGCCCAAUUAGUAUUUAUUGAGUAAAUGAAAGAAUGGUGGUUGAGAGUGCAGAUCCCAGAAAAAGAUUCCGCAAGUUCAAAUUCCAGAUCUUCUCUUUAACAACUGUGUGCCUUUGGGCAAGUUUUUAAACCUCUCUGUAUCUUAGUUUCCUUAUAGUAAUUGAAGAUAACAAGUACCUGCCUUACAGAAUUGCUGUGAAGAUUAAGUUAAUACAUUUAAAUUUCAGAUCAGUCCUCAGCACAUAGAUUUGAUAGAUGUCAAUCAUCAUCAUCAUCAUCAUCAUCUAAAAUUAUUAGCUGGAAUGUUAGAAAUAUAAGAACAGAGAAUUUUGGAAAUCUGGGAGAAGUGAGAGGAUGCAGAACAUAUGGAUGGGAUUGGUGGAAGCUUUAUGUGGCAGAUUGUAUUCUUCAAAGAUGGUUGCAACAAUAUCUCAGUUUCACAUGCUAUUCUGGAAACUAGAGGUAGAGUGCACUCCUCAUCAAGAAGU